rnacentral:rRNA from 1 species
GAUGAGAUGGUCUCAUGCCNACACAUGCAAGUCGAACGGCAGCACGGGUGCUUGCACCUGGUGGCGAGUGGCGAACGGGUGAGUAAUACAUCGGAACAUGUCCUGUAGUGGGGGAUAGCCCGGCGAAAGCCGGAUUAAUACCGCAUACGAUCUACGGAUGAAAGCGGGGGACCUUCGGGCCUCGCGCUAUAGGGUUGGCCGAUGGCUGAUUAGCUAGUUGGUGGGGUAAAGGCCUACCAAGGCGACGAUCAGUAGCUGGUCUGAGAGGACGACCAGCCACACUGGGACUGAGACACGGCCCAGACUCCUACGGGAGGCAGCAGUGGGGAAUUUUGGACAAUGGGCGAAAGCCUGAUCCAGCAAUGCCGCGUGUGUGAAGAAGGCCUUCGGGUUGUAAAGCACUUUUGUCCGGAAAGAAAUCCUUGGCUCUAAUACAGUCGGGGGAUGACGGUACCGGAAGAAUAAGCACCGGCUAACUACGUGCCAGCAGCCGCGGUAAUACGUAGGGUGCGAGCGUUAAUCGGAAUUACUGGGCGUAAAGCGUGCGCAGGCGGUUUGCUAAGACCGAUGUGAAAUCCCCGGGC